rnacentral:rRNA from 1 species
GGCAGCUUAACACAUGCAAGUCGAGCGGUAACAGAGAUAGCUUGCUAUCUGCUGACGAGCGGCGGACGGGUGAGUAAUGCUUGGGAAUAUGCCUUUGAGUGGGGGACAACAGUUGGAAACGACUGCUAAUACCGCAUAACGUCUACGGACCAAAGGGGGGGAUGCUUCGGCACCUCUCGCUCAUUGAUUAGCCCAAGUGAGAUUAGCUAGUUGGUAAGGUAAUGGCUUACCAAGGCGACGAUCUCUAGCUGGUUUGAGAGGAUGAUCAGCCACACUGGGACUGAGACACGACCCAGACUCCUACGGGAGGCAGCAGUGGGGAAUAUUGCACAAUGGGCGAAAGCCUGAUGCAGCCAUGCCGCGUGUGUGAAGAAGGCCUUCGGGUUGUAAAGCACUUUCAGCGAGGAGGAAAGGUUAGUAGUUAAUAGCUGCUAGCUGUGACGUUACUCGCAGAAGAAGCACCGGCUAACUUCGUGCCAGCAGCCGCGGUAAUACGAGGGGUGCAAGCGUUAAUCGGAAUUACUGGGCGUAAAGCGUGCGUAGGUGGUUUGUUAAGCAAGAUGUGAAAGCCCCGGGCUCAACCUGGGAACUGCAUUUUGAA